AGAGGAUUAGUCCAAUAAAGACUUCUAAUUUCGGCUUAGACAAUUAUGGUGAAACUCCAUAAUCCUCUU
rnacentral:tRNA from 2 species